CCCUGGGAGGAAGAACUAAAGCUCGUCAGCGAGCAGGUGCCCGCUGAGUAAACAGAGGGGAGGCACGUCUACACCUUACAUAUAAUUGGCCGAGCAGAUGCUCGCGUGAUCCUCUCGAGCACGCUUUCUGCGUUUUAUACGAAAGUGGCCCCCCAAGUGCCACGUUCAGCCGAUCCUCCCUCCUCUUCUUGGCGGGAAGAACAUAUUAUGCUUCAGACAGGGAGAGAGAGGAACAGAGAGAGUUUGAUUUGCCGAUGGCGUCCGGAGUCCUCGGCCGUCCGCUGCAUCUCCGGGAAUUGGGUUUUCAGCGUCGAGAGAGGAAAGGAGGAGUCAGGGCGAGCAGGGCGGCCCAAGGAGUUGCUUCCCCAGAUUCCCACGUCAAACGCAUCCCAGGAAAAUUGGAGGCAGAUGUUGUUGUCAUAGGAAGUGGUGUUGGUGGACUUUGUUGUGCCGGACUUUUGGCUAAAUACGGGCAAGAUGUUCUUGUGCUAGAAAGCCAUGACCUUCCAGGAGGUGCAGCUCAUUCAUUUGAGGUUAAAGGUUUCAAAUUUGACUCUGGGCCUUCAUUAUUUUCUGGAUUUCAGUCAAGAGGUCUUCAGGCGAAUCCUCUUGCACAGGUUUUGGAUGCAUUGGACGAAUCUGUCCAAUGUGCUUCUUACAACUCGUGGAUGGUGUAUGUACCUGAAGGUGACUUCCUUUCCCGCAUAGGGCCCACAGAAUUUAUCAGUGACCUCGCAAAGUACGCUGGUGCAGAUGCUGUUCGUGAAUGGAAACAACUUCUUGAUGCAGUGAUUCCUAUGUCAGCUGCUGCAAUGGCUUUACCCCCUCUGGCAAUUCGAGGUGACUGGGGCGUUCUUUCUACAGCAGCUGCACGCUAUGCACCUUCUCUACUGAAGUCAUUUAUCCAAAUGGGACCUCAAGGUGCCAUUGGUGCCACAAAGCUCCUUAGACCAUUCUCAGAUAUCGUUGAAUCUUUGAAGCUAAAAGACCCGUUCAUCCUUAAUUGGUUGGACCUUCUGUCUUUCCUUCUUGCUGGGGUAAAAUCUGAUGGUGUACUUUCUGCUGAGAUGGUAUAUAUGUUUGCAGAAUGGUAUAAGCCCGGGAGCUCACUUGAAUACCCUCUUCAUGGGUCUGGUGCAAUAGUUGAUGCUCUUGUCCGUGGAAUACGAAAAUUUGGUGGAAGGCUAGCAUUGGGAACCCAUGUUGAUAGUAUUAUUGUUGAAAAUGGUCGUGCUGUUGGAGUCCAACUCUCAAGUGGCUUGUCUGUUCGUGCUAGGAAGGCUGUUGUCAGCAAUGCAUCUAUGUGGGACACUUUGAACUUGCUACCUGCUGAAAGUGUUCCAAGUUCAUACAGAGACAAAGUCAAUAAGACCCAACAGUGUGAAUCUUUUUUGCAUCUUCAUCUAGGUUUUGAUGCUAAGGACAUACCAGAAGACUUGGAGAUACAUCACAUUGUUGUAAAUGAUUGGAAGAGAGGAGUAGAUGCAGAUCAAAAUGUUGUUUUGAUAUCUAUACCAAGUGUCCUUGGUAAGGAACUGGCCCCCACAGGGAAGCAUGUAUUACAUGCAUACACUCCUGGAACAGAACCUUAUGACAUAUGGGAAGGACUAGAUCGUCGAAGUUCAGAGUAUAAAAAGCUGAAGGCUGAAAGAUCUGAGGUCAUGUGGCAAGCUGUUGAACGCGUACUUGGACCUGGAUUUGACCGCAACAAAUGUGAAGUAAAAUUAGUCGGUACUCCUUUGACACACCAGAGGUUUUUGAGAAGGAAGAGAGGAACAUACGGCCCUGCUAUACGCGCAGGUGAGGACGCAUUUCCAGGGCAUUCAACACCACUUCCACAACUUUUCUGUUGCGGUGAUUCCACAUUUCCAGGCAUUGGGAUUCCCGCAGUUGCUGCUAGUGGUGCAAUAGUUGCCAAUUCUCUGGUCUCGGUUUCUCAACACCAAGAACUUUUGGAUGCUAUUGGAAUUUAAUUUCUUGUUCGGCCCAAUGUCCGCCAUGGAAAACAUUCCUCAUCUUAUAUAUGUUUUAAGCUGAACGGUGGCGCACUGUUUUUAGAAAUACAAAGCACACGCAUCUCGCUGUCUUUUUUCUUCCGAAAAACCAUCCUUGGCAUCUGGACUUGGCUGGGCUGACAUCGUAUUGCGCGUACUUUCUCGUCAGAAGAGAGUUCUGCAGCCUGGAAACGGCAGACAACUCGUCUUCAGAGACAAAUUGCAGUCAGCGUGCCGUAAAGAUUAGAAACUCUCUAGUCGAUGAGCUUGGGCAGUUGUCGCACUGCAUACGUCUCACACAUUUAAUUAAUGUGUCAUGCCGCAAUAAGCAUAUUCUU